rnacentral:rRNA from 1 species
GACGUAGGGGGCCAGCGUUGUUCGGAAUUACUGGGUGUAAAGGGUUCGUAGGCGGUGUGGCAAGUCGGGAGUGAAAUCUCUGGGCUCAACUCAGGAACUGCGUCCGAUACUGGUUGGCUUGAAUCCGGGAGAGGGACGUGGAAUUCCAGGUGUAGCGGUGAAAUGCGUAGAUAUCUGGAGGAACACCGGUGGCGAAGGCGACGUCCUGGACCGGUAUUGACGCUGAGGCGCGAAAGCCAGGGGAGCAAGCGGG